UGGUGCUGUCAGUGUAUCGAAGUUCUUCACGAAGCGACGAUACCAUCCCGCACGUACAACCUAAUAUAUCUGCCUCUCGGCUUAAGCUCGCCCGGGUCCAUUCGAAGUAGUCCACCUCCAACUAUAAACCCGAGUGCGUCUAGAAAUCGGGAGCCAGGAUUGAAAGGUCGUCUCGGUAAACGAAAACAUUGGACCUCAGCUCGGCUAGUAUCACUUGGUCCGUCAGUGCACCAAGCGUUGCGCUGCGUUGCACAGUCCUAAUCGGAUGUUGCCAUUCGGAACUUAUACAACGGUCUUCCAGGAACCGUAAACACAGUAUAAGAGGACAUUCAAGUUCCUCAGAACCUUCCCUCACGGACACCGGUGUUGACGGCGUUCCGGUGUUCCAGUCGAAAAAAAAUUCAAUAACGGAAUUGAGGUCGUACUCGCUAUUAUACAUCACCCUCCAGCGGCCCAACCGGAUUUAUCGUCUUCCGUCAUUGGCUCCUGCGUUGGCAUACCGUCCUCGGUCGUCCUGAAACUCAGCCGCCCUGCGGUCUUCGGCCCAUCACGAUCGUGAAGCGUGGUCAAGCGUGGAAAUUCCGGUGAUCAGCGAUAACCUCUACCCGUCUCUGGUGGAUGGUAAGGACUCUCUGCUGGUCUAUACGCGUUAACAUCGGUCGAUCCUGGAAACCGCGAUUCUUGGUCUACUUGUCCGCUUGGCGAUCCGGGUCCAUGGGCAGCAACCGCUGGCAUUGUGGAUCAACGUCAUGCCAAGAAAACCGU